UGUAAAAGAUCUUUAUUGUACGUACAUUAAAAUCACAAUAUAUUUAAAUGUUUCCGAUAUAUUCUAUUAUAUUUUUAUUGUUCGCUUAUGUUUAGUAUUGCUCAUCCAAAAACUAAACAAUUUUUAAAAGUAUUCGGUUUGGAUGAUCUGGAAAUCCGUCUAAUGUUAUUGAAUUAAUAUAAUUUUGGAAUAUUUCAUGGAUUUAUUAUAUUGAUGAAAUAACAAUUGAAAACAAUAAAAUUACAAUAGCUUUGUUUGUUAAAUAAAUAAAAAUGUUAUACCGGUUCUCAAGUAUAUAUUUUCAUAUUGCAGGUCUUGUUGCAGGUCUAGAAAUGUUCUGCAAUAAAAAUUUGAUUUCAAAAAAAUUAAAGGGAACAAAAACUUUUGCUUUUAAUUUACUCGGAGAAUGGCUGGAUUCAUUUGACCGUGUACAGUUUUGUUUAUAAUUAGUGAAGAGAUGAAAAUAAUGAAACUGUAUGGUGCAAAAAGUGUUUUUUUCAUUGCAGUUUCUGCUGCUGGGAAAGCGGUAGAUCACUAUGGCUUCUGUACCGUGAACAUUAAGCAUGCUGCGGAAAACCGUUCGUUUCGCCAUAUUGAUCAGCAGCUGUAAGAUACCACGAAGGAAACCAACAAUAAUACUUGAUUUGACGGGUCUGGAGCCGAGUCUGGAGCAUCCCCAGAAGCAGGUUAGAGAAGGUUAGCAGGCCAUUGGAGGAACAAUCCACAGCGGAGCUAUCGAUAAAUCGCUUGGGGAACGUGGACAUUUGCGUGAUUCGGACUAAAAAUUGAAAGCAAAGGCUGCUAUUUCCGAGGCUAUUCGUUUUCGUACCGAGGGCUGAUUUUCUUUGCUACUAUGCGAUGCCAAAGAAGCUUCCACACCGAUGAUCUUGAUUCAACGAUCUUUGCACCUGUGGUGACGGAACGGGGCUUUCACAGUACUUCCAGCAUCCUUACUGCUCUCACAAGUUUCGGGAUUAUAUACCGUCAAAUCUCUACACGGCUACUGCGGAGCAGCCUAGCAGGUGACCCGGUACCUGCUGCGGUUAACGCUUACUGACCCGAAGCUGCUCCUGAUCAUCCAGCCAGUUCCGGUUUCGUCGAUCGCGUAAUUUUAAUCUUUCGGUAAUCAGUUUCGCUAAUUGCCCAACAUCCAACAACGAAUAGGUUGAUAAAGACUGUAUAUUGUAAAUAUAUUUAUAUAGUAGAAUUAAAUUAAGAAGGCAUGCCAAAAAGCUGCCAGCUGUUGACGAAUAUAAAAAAAAGGAUAAUAAUGUGCACUAUAGGCUUAUUUGUUUUGUUUUUUUUUUUGCGAAAUAUUGAUUUGUUUAUAUAUUUGCCCGGUAUGGUACAUAAUCAAAAGAGCGAGAUGCAUCACUCCAGCAUGCUGAUGAUCUCAGUAACGGAGAUUAAACCGGGUGCGACUGCGACUGUCUCCAACAGAACAAAAAGCUCUCGUCAAAGCUGUCCAUAUGCAUGUGUACAAGAGCCAAGAAUAGCAUUAUCCAUUCUUUUAGGUAAUCAUUUACAGUAUAAUAAAAAUAAUACCUAAUCUAUUUUUUCGCAACAUUUGUUACAUAGUUAGAAAUCAUGAUAUUCAUUUGAUUGUAAUUCAGAUUAAAUUGAUUUGGUUUUAUUGAG